GGUAUAGACCCGAAACCCGGUGAUCUAGCCAUGGGCAGGUUGAAGGUUGGGUAACACUAACUGGAGGACCGAACCGACUAAUGUUGAAAAAUUAGCGGAUGACUUGUGGCUGGGGGUGAAAGGCCAAUCAAACCGGGAGAUAGCUGGUUCUCCCCGAAAGCUAUUUAGGUAGCGCCUCGUGAAUUCAUCUCCGGGGGUAGAGCACUGUUUCGGCAAGGGGGUCAUCCCGACUUACCAACCCGAUGCAAACUGCGAAUACCGGAGAAUGUUAUCACGGGAGACACACGGCGGGUGCUAACGUCCGUCGUGAAGAGGGAAACAACCCAGACCGCCAGCUAAGGUCCCAAAGUCAUGGUUAAGUGGGAAACGAUGUGGGAAGGCCCAGACAGCCAGGAUGUUGGCUUAGAAGCAGCCAUCAUUUAAAGAAAGCGUAAUAGCUCACUGGUCGAGUCGGCCUGCGCGGAAGAUGUAACGGGGCUAAACCAUGCACCGAAGCUGCGGCAGCGACACUAUGUGUUGUUGGGUAGGGGAGCGUUCUGUAAGCCUGUGAAGGUGUACUGUGAGGUAUGCUGGAGGUAUCAGAAGUGCGAAUGCUGACAUAAGUAACGAUAAAGCGGGUGAAAAGCCCGCUCGCCGGAAGACCAAGGGUUCCUGUCCAACGUUAAUCGGGGCAGGGUGAGUCGACCCCUAAGGCGAGGCCGAAAGGCGUAGUCGAUGGGAAACAGGUUAAUAUUCCUGUACUUGGUGUUACUGCGAAGGGGGGACGGAGAAGGCUAUGUUGGCCGGGCGACGGUUGUCCCGGUUUAAGCGUGUAGGCUGGUUUUCCAGGCAAAUCCGGAAAAUCAAGGCUGAGGCGUGAUGACGAGGCACUACGGUGCUGAAGCGACAAAUGCCCUGCUUCCAGGAAAAGCCUCUAAGCAUCAGGUAACAUCAAAUCGUACCCCAAACCGACACAGGUGGUCAGGUAGAGAAUACCAAGGCGCUUGAGAGAACUCGGGUGAAGGAACUAGGCAAAAUGGUGCCGUAACUUCGGGAGAAGGCACGCUGAUAUGUAGGUGAAGCGACUUGCUCGUGGAGCUGAAAUCAGUCGAAGAUACCAGCUGGCUGCAACUGUUUAUUAAAAACACAGCACUGUGCAAACACGAAAGUGGACGUAUACGGUGUGACGCCUGCCCGGUGCCGGAAGGUUAAUUGAUGGGGUUAGCGGUAACGCGAAGCUCUUGAUCGAAGCCCCGGUAAACGGCGGCCGUAACUAUAACGGUCCUAAGGUAGCGAAAUUCCUUGUCGGGUAAGUUCCGACCUGCACGAAUGGCGUAAUGAUGGCCAGGCUGUCUCCACCCGAGACUCAGUGAAAUUGAACUCGCUGUGAAGAUGCAGUGUACCCGCGGCAAGACGGAAAGACCCCGUGAACCUUUACUAUAGCUUGACACUGAACAUUGAGCCUUGAUGUGUAGGAUAGGUGGGAGGCUUUGAAGUGUGGACGCCAGUCUGCAUGGAGCCGACCUUGAAAUACCACCCUUUAAUGUUUGAUGUUCUAACGUGGGCCCCUUACCGGGGUUGCGGACAGUGUCUGGUGGGUAGUUUGACUGGGGCGGUCUCCUCCUAAAGAGUAACGGAGGAGCACGAAGGUUGGCUAAUCCUGGUCGGACAUCAGGAGGUUAGUGCAAUGGCAUAAGCCAGCUUGACUGCGAGCGUGACGGCGCGAGCAGGUGCGAAAGCAGGUCAUAGUGAUCCGGUGGUUCUGAAUGGAAGGGCCAUCGCUCAACGGAUAAAAGGUACUCCGGGGAUAACAGGCUGAUACCGCCCAAGAGUUCAUAUCGACGGCGGUGUUUGGCACCUCGAUGUCGGCUCAUCACAUCCUGGGGCUGAAGUAGGUCCCAAGGGUAUGGCUGUUCGCCAUUUAAAGUGGUACGCGAGCUGGGUUUAGAACGUCGUGAGACAGUUCGGUCCCUAUCUGCCGUGGGCGCUGGAGAACUGAGGGGGGCUGCUCCUAGUACGAGAGGACCGGAGUGGACGCAUCACUGGUGUUCGGGUUGUCAUGCCAAUGGCACUGCCCGGUAGCUAAAUGCGGAAGAGAUAAGUGCUGAAAGCAUCUAAGCACGAAACUUGCCCCGAGAUGAGUUCUCCCUGACUCCUUGAGAGUCCUGAAGGAACGUUGAAGACGACGACGUUGAUAGGCCGGGUGUGUAAGCGCAGCGAUGCGUUGAGCUAACCGGUACUAAUGAACCGUGAGGCUUAACCUU
rnacentral:rRNA from 1 species